AUGAAGGAGAUUACAUGCAAGAAUGGCCAAAGGAGAGGGAUCAAGUGUGGAGAUUUUACCACCUAGCCAUCUAAGAAAGAUGAACCAUCACCUCUUGGUCGAUCACCAGAAGAGAGAGAGGAGAAUAGGACCCAAAUGGAUCAGAGUGAAAUGAAAGGAAGAGAAGUGGGGAGGAUGCUAUUGGCCACAACAUGCAAUAGAUGAUUAGGAUCCAUUGCAUGUGAUCCACGGGUGGAAAAGCUUCCCAAUUUCCAUUAGCUAGCUUCUCCCAUAUUUAAAGAUCGUUUUUGGACAUUU
rnacentral:lncRNA from 1 species